UGAUCAGUCAGGCUGCUGGCUAUUUUCCAUGACUUAUCUAGUUCUGGAUAUAACCAAAGCUCAACUGU
rnacentral:pre_miRNA from 14 species